rnacentral:rRNA from 1 species
GUCUACGGCCAUGCCACCCUUAACACGCCUGAUCCUGUCUGAUCUCGGAAGCUAAGCAGGGUCAGGACUGAUUAGUACUUGGAUGAGAGACCACCUAGGAAGACCAGGUGCUGUAGGCA